rnacentral:misc_RNA from 1 species
GUUUAUACUGUCUAUCAUGAAAAAUUUAUGAUUGUUUAUACAAUUUAUUACGUAGAAUUGGAUACAGAUGCAGAAGAAAGGUUUUCAUUUGAACCCCCCUACUGCAGUGUACAUCAAAUGGUUGCCAAGUGCAUUUUGGACAUGAGCAGCUAUGUCAAACCACCUACCAUCUUUCAUCCCCCAACCAAUUGUCCUUUUCCUUUGGUCCUGUUGGCCCUGCUUCACCA